rnacentral:rRNA from 1 species
AGAGUUUGAUCCUGGCUCAGGACGAACUCUGGCGGCGUGCUUAACACAUGCAAGUCGAACGAUGAAGCCCUUCGGGGUGGAUUAGUGGCGAACGGGUGAGUAACACGUGGGCAAUCUGCCCUUCACUCUGGGACAAGCCCUGGAAACGGGGUCUAAUACCGGAUAACACUUCCUGCCGCAUGGUGGGGGGUUAAAAGCUCCGGCGGUGAAGGAUGAGCCCGCGGCCUAUCAGCUUGUUGGUGGGGUGAUGGCCUACCAAGGCGACGACGGGUAGCCGGCCUGAGAGGGCGACCGGCCACACUGGGACUGAGACACGGCCCAGACUCCUACGGGAGGCAGCAGUGGGGAAUAUUGCACAAUGGGCGAAAGCCUGAUGCAGCGACGCCGCGUGAGGGAUGACGGCCUUCGGGUUGUAAACCUCUUUCAGCAGGGAAGAAGCGAGAGUGACGGUACCUGCAGAAGAAGCGCCGGCUAACUACGUGCCAGCAGCCGCGGUAAU